GGCCAUAGCUUAGUGAUAGAGCAUCUGCUUGGUGUGCAGAAGGCCCCAAGUUCAAUCACUCCAGGUAGGGCUG